rnacentral:rRNA from 1 species
UGGCGUACGGGUGCGUAACGCGUGGGAACCUGCCCUUUGGUUCGGAAUAACUGGGAGAAAUUCCAGCUAAUACCGGAUGAUGUCGAAAGACCAAAGAUUUAUCGCCAAGGGAUGGGCCCGCGUAGGAUUAGCUAGUUGGUGAGGUAAAGGCUCACCAAGGCGACGAUCCUUAGCUGGUCUGAGAGGAUGAUCAGCCACACUGGGACUGAGACACGGCCCAGACUCCUACGGGAGGCAGCAGUGGGGAAUAUUGGACAAUGGGCGAAAGCCUGAUCCAGCAAUGCCGCGUGAGUGAUGAAGGCCUUAGGGUUGUAAAGCUCUUUUACCCGGGAUGAUAAUGACAGUACCGGGAGAAUAAGCCCCGGCUAACUCCGUGCCAGCAGCCGCGGUAAUACGGAGGGGGCUAGCGUUGUUCGGAAUUACUGGGCGUAAAGCGCACGUAGGCGGCUUUGUAAGUUAGAGGUGAAAGCCCGGGGCUCAACUCCGGAAUUGCCUUUAAGAC